GAAACAUAUUUCACUUUGGUGUGUGUGCGUGCGCGUGUCACCGCUGGCCUCGUCUUACACUUCAGCCGACACAUUGUGCGUCUUUCGAAACCCGUGGCCUCUCAUCGACACGUGCCGGUCUCCUUUCGCAGACCGUAACGGAAUCUGCCGCUCCUCCCUCCACAUACCCACAGAACAAUACCGACGGUAGGCAAUGGCCAAGGGCACAGUGAAGCGCAAGGCGACACCGUCAUCCCUGCGCAAAAAGAAGGCGCAGCAGCGCAUUCGCAAGCAGAUACGCACCAAGCUGCAGAAGAAGAAGCCGAGCUGGAAGACGGCGCUUGCGAAGGUGUACACGGGCGGGGCCAACACACUGAAGGACAGGAAGAAGGAUAGCCGCAAGCGCGCCCGCAGCGGUGAGGAUGACUGCGAUGACGAGGAGAACACUUUCAAUUUCAAGCGCGACGGCGUGGACGAGGACGGCGAGGUGCAAAGCGAUGUCGACGAAGAGAAGGAGGAGCGGCUGAAUCAGCGCGACCCGCUCGAGACGCAGUUGUUUCUCAAGAACUUGCCACUCGAUACGAGUGAGGAGGAGCUGAUGACGUACUUCAAAACCCACUUCAGCGCCGUCAAGCGUGUGCUGCUGGUGCGCAACCGUGCGAGCAAGACGCUCUCCGGUACCGGCUUCGUGCACUGCGGCUCUGCGGAGCUGGCGGGCAAGAUAUUUGACUACGCCCAGCAGAACGCGCGUGAGUUGUCGGCGGUAGGACGAGAGGACAUGAAGGCGCAGACCGAGAGCCUUUCUCAUCACCAAGCAAAGCGGCUCAUGCAUAAGAUGCGCACCGACUCCUUCGUUGUACGUGACCCGUUUCUCACGAUGCGCGACACCAGGUUCACGGUGCUGCGCGUGCUAUCGAGAUCGGACACUCAGGAGGCGGUGAGUGCACAGCAGAAGAAGAAGAAGCGCACUAAGGUGGCAGCAGACGAUCCGCGUAACUUGUACCUCUUGCAGGAGGGUUUGGUGGUGCCGGGCUCCGCCGCAGCGAAGGGUCUGCACCCGCGCUACCUGCAGAUGAUCGAGGACGACUAUGCCGCGCGUAAGCAGCAGCUGACUAACAGCAACUACUUUGUUAGCAAGACCCGUCUUAGUGUGCGCAAUCUGCCGCGCACAAUGUCAGAGAAUGACAUGCGCCGCCUCUUUGCUGAGCAGGCGCGAGCAUACCUGAAGAAGCAUCCCGAGGACACAGAAAAAGAUAAAUGGGGCAAGUACGGCCCCAUCCGCAAUGUGAAGCUGCUAAAGGACACGGCUGGCGUCUCGCGCGGGUACGGCUUCAUUGAGUUUGUGAACCACAACGUAGCUCUCAACACACUCCGCAUGCUGAACAACAACCCGACGGUAUUCGGCGAUCAGCGGCGACUUAUGGUCUCCUUCGCUAUCGAGAGCAUGAGCGCAGUGCAGAAGCUCCAGCGCAUGAAGGAGCUGAAGCGCGCACGCUUGGCUCGCGGGUUGUGCGACGGCCGCGCGUCUGCCGUGUCGUCUAACGCAAAGAAAAGCAGAUAGCACUUUUCGGGCGCGUUCAUCGUUCCAGCUUUGAAAGUCGGUGCUGCGGGUUGCUGUUGCUCUGGCGUCAAUCAAGUGCAUAAUGUUAACAAGCACAGGUGAGGAGGGCGAAGGCAAGGAAAAGAUGGAAGCGAAGGCUUGAGGAGGAGGGUGGCGAGGCAUGCACCCCUGGACAUGCUUGCACGCAGACAACGUUUUCUGUAUCGGACGCAACGCCAUGCACGUGCGUGUUGGCGUUUGCGUGUGAUCUGUGCGAAAGCGUGCGCACUUGCACAUGCUCUUGUUUACACCUGCCCUCCCUCUCUCUGCUUCUCGCAUCUCUUUUCCUCUUGCUUGCGUGUGUAUAUCUGUGUUUUUUUCUCUCCUUCUGACGAUGCUCGCCUGUGUGCGAAGGACUUGCCUAGCGUGCGCGCUUGUGUUGUUUUCUCUUUACUCGUGUAAGGCGCUCUGCUCAUCCUCACCCCCUUUUCUCUCUCCUCUCUCGUGGGUUUCGCGUGCGCGUUUUCCCGUCGCAGAGUGCUCUCAUCGUGUGGUGUUGUAGGAUGUGUGCUCACGAAUGCGACUCUCUCUAUCUCUGUCUUGUUUCGUCCAUGGGGGAGGGGAAGUGCACGUGUGCCAGUGUGCGUCGGUGCGGCUGUGCACCUGCCUCUCCUCGAGAGUUGGGAGCAUGUCGAAGCGAAGAGGACACAAUCAGACCAGCGGCCUCUUGCGCCCCUUCUCGGUGGUCGCAAACGGCGACGCACAGAAGGGGUGCAGCACGUGCGUGUAUAUCUCUUCUAAGGCAAACCACAAUAGCCAAAAUGCCCCACCUCACCGUGGCUCUUUGACUGAAAAGGCGAAAGACGCGGUGCCACACCACUUUUGCCUGUGCGCGUGUGCUUGUCUACAUGGACGGUUAAGCGAUACGUGGAUGAGCGCACCUCCGUAGAAGAGAGACAAUGCCGUCGUCUCUCGGCCCCCCAUCUCUUUCUCUCUCCAGUUUCGAGGUGCUCGAACCGCAACGGCGGUCUCCUCUUUUGUGCGGGUGCCCUCUUCCGCGACUAUGGCAGUGUCCUCUCUGUGAAUACACGCGACACUCUCCGCUGCUUUCGCAUCCCCCUCCCCCUCCGCCGUUAUUCACGCCUGCACUCUCUUCUCUAUCGCGCUUCCGUAAUGCGCACCUACGCUCGCCCAUUCCUUCCGACCACCUCGCGCAACGUGCACACACAAUCACACCUUCAUGGCUAUAUAUAUAUAUAUAUAUGCCCAAAUACGCACACGCCCACCUUCUCGUUUGCAUGGGGCGCCUGUGCGUCACAACACUUUCCUUUUGCGCCCCUCCUCUCCCUUCCCCCCUGCCCAACGACUCCAG
rnacentral:misc_RNA from 1 species